GCAGUCGAGCGCGCCUUUCGGGGUGAGCGGCGGACGGGUUAGUAACGCGUGGGAAUAUACCCUUUUCUACGGAAUAGCCUCUGGAAACGGAGAGUAAUACCGUAUGAGCCCUUCGGGGGAAAGAUUUAUCGGGAAAGGAUUAGCCCGCGUUAGAUUAGGUAGUUGGUGGGGUAAUGGCCUACCAAGCCUACGAUCUAUAGCUGGUUUUAGAGGAUGAUCAGCAACACUGGGACUGAGACACGGCCCAGACUCCUACGGGAGGCAGCAGUGGGGAAUCUUGGACAAUGGGGGCAACCCUGAUCCAGCCAUGCCGCGUGAGUGAUGAAGGCCUUAGGGUCGUAAAGCUCUUUCGCCUGUGAAGAUAAUGACGGUAGCAGGUAAAGAAACCCCGGCUAACUCCGUGCCAGCAGCCGCGGUAAUACGGAGGGGGUUAGCGUUGUUCGGAAUUACUGGGCGUAAAGCGCACGUAGGCGGACUGGAAAGUUGGGGGUGAAAUCCCAGGGCUCAACCCUGGAACUGCCUCCAAAACUAUCAGUCUAGAGUUCGAGAGAGGUGAGUGGAAUUCCGAGUGUAGAGGUGAAAUUCGUAGAUAUUCGGAGGAACACCAGUGGCGAAGGCGGCUCACUGGCUCGAUACUGACGCUGAGGUGCGAAAGUGUGGGGAGCAAACAGGAUUAGAUACCCUGGUAGUCCACACCGUAAACGAUGAAUGCCAGUCGUCGGGUAGCAUGCUAUUCGGUGACACACCUAACGGAUUAAGCAUUCCGCCUGGGGAGUACGGUCGCAAGAUUAAAACUCAAAGGGAAUUGACGGGGGCCCGCACAAGCGGUGGAGCAUGUGGUUUAAUUCGAAGC
rnacentral:rRNA from 1 species